AGCCUUCCUCUAGGAGUGAGGUCGAGCGACCACCGUAUGCAUGUAUAUUGUUAGGGUGUUAUGAUGAUACUGUUGGGUAAGGUGUCUAAGUCCAUAACUAUUUCUGGUAUGUACUUGACCCGCUUGGCAUGGUCCAUUUGGGUUUCAUGGCAUCAUGAUGAUUGGAUAGACAAAAUGAGAAGAUGGACACUUAUGAUUUGUUAAUAUAUUAUAAGUUAUAAUAUAUUAAUAUGAAAUCAUAUUAUAUAAUUAGUAUUGAUCAAGAGUUAAUUUGGAAUUCAGUUUAUGAUAAAAAAGAGACUAAUUAAAUAUAUGGGGUUGAUUGUGUAAAUCAUCUAUUCUUAUAUAGUGGGCUAAUGAUCCAUGGUUCAAUGGAUUGGGCUAAAACCCAUUGGGUGCUCCAUGGAUGCUCCCUGGAGGUUAAAACCCAUGGAUCAUGGAGGAAAUGAAAAGCCAUGUCAAUUAGGGUUUACAUGGUGUAACCCUACUUGUGACACACUAUAUAAAGACCCCAUAGGCUAGCAAAAUCGAUACUAAGACUAGAACAAGGAGGGCUAGCCAAUUUUGAGUGAUAGUGUACUUCACUCAAAGGUAUUCCAAGAGUUGUGUUGUUGUGUGAAACAUUUGAGGCAUCACAUUUGGGGUGCUAAGCUCACAAAGUUCUUAAGGAAUCCAACCAACAAGAAAGGUAUGUUCUUCUAAUAGCUUUUAUGUUUCAAGUUCCCCAUGCCAUGCUUGUUAGGUUAAGAACCUUGGAAAAACCAAAUUUUCAUGUAUCUUAGUAAAACAUAGAUCCAAGGUUUCUAGGGUUGUAUGUACACAAUAGUAGUGUUAGAAUGCUCAAAACCCUUUAGUGGUAUUAGAGACUAGGCUUGUUUUCUUGAUACUUGAUGCAAAUUGUUGAAGAAAAUCGAAAUUUCUGCAUUCUUCUGAGUGAAAUCGCCGAGUCCAUAGGGGGACUCGAUGAGUCCAUGCAUAUAUUCAUCCUACUCGUCGAGUAGGUUCGUGUACUCGGUGAGUAGGAGGCCCAGAGUGCAGUUUUUUGAGUUUUGCUGCUGGAAAUAGACUAGAAUCAUUACCCUAAACUAUUUUGGACUUAUAAAACCUGUUUUUGAUGUGGUAAUGAUUAUGCUAAUCCAUUUACAAUUGUUAUUAUCAAAACUUCAUGUUUUAUAUGUGUUUAUAUGAUUCUUGAAAUUGUUGAUAUGAAUGUUCAUACACUUAUGAGUUUGGUAGAUCAUAGGAAUUAUUUGCAAAUUGGUUGUUAGUUUAAUUCUUGAUCUAAAUGUUUUUUUUAAUGGAGUCCAUAAUUUUUCCUCAAGUUAUGGAUUACUAAAAGUCUUUUUCUUUCAAAGUCCAUUAAAGAACACAUAGGUUACAUAAAAUGAAGAGUCUUCAUUUUAAUAAACCAUUAACUAAUAAGUUAUGAAGUUGAAAAGUUUUGAAUAGUUACAAAACCUGCCCUCAAGUUUUGGAACAUGUAAAGUCACUUUAGAAAACUUUAGUUCCAACCUCUAGAAUUUUAAAAGUUAAAAUUCAACCCUUAUACUUUAUAGUAUUAUAAGUUAUAUAUAUAUAUAUAUAUANUUUUAUCAUUAGUAGGCCUCAUUCACGAAGCCAGUCUAUAAGGGGGGUAUAAGGUUGUUGUCUAUAAAAUGUCAGCUUAAUGGGUGUCCACUCUCACCUACCGCUUCCUUGACUAGUGGAGGCUCGUUAGCCGAACGGGUAGGAUAAUGACUUUAACUCUCAUUAAAAGUAUAAUGAUUAUAAAGUAACUAAUGUUUUAUAAAUUCCCAAUCUUUGUUACUUUAGGAAAAUGUGAAUUUGGUGCUAACCCAUGAAAUUACAUUUUGCACCUUCCUUAAGUCGUUAGUGGAGCACGUGUGGUUAACUGACACACUAACUUGGAUUUAACAAGGUUGGCAAAGGGUGGCUUAAGGUUUAUCAUAGAUUGGUGGAGCGCGUGUGGUUAACUGACACAUCAAUUAGGUGAUAAACAUUAAGAGUACCAAGUAAAUUUGCAUGGUUAUUUACACCCUGUUUUGUGAUCUUCGGCAUCCCAGUCACAAAACUUGUAGGGUACACUCGAGAUUGACACAUGCCAUUGAAAAGUUCAGUGAAUCUCAAAAGAAGCUAGGAGUUUCAAAACCAAUUAAAACCUAAUAAUUCAUUUCGUUUUCAUGGUGGAAACUGGUGAAUCGUUAUUCACCUACCUUUAAAUGUUUUAUAGCUUGGAUUACGGCAUCCAUAUUCUAAGUUAUAAAAUUUUGUGUUGGGUCCUAGCCUUCAUAUUACAUUUGGGUGUCUUAUUAAGGACUAUCUUUAUAUCUAAUCUAAACUUGUCCUUCUUCUUUUUAAGAUGUCUUCCAACAAUACGGCUUCUGGCUCAUACCCUACCGACUCCUUCUCUUCUAUGAACCUUUGUGGGAGAGUCAUCUUUCAUGGGACUAAUUUCAAUGAUUGGAUUAGGAACAUAAGGGUGGUGACUCGCUAUGAGGACAAGGAAUAUGCACUUGACAAGGAGUUGAAGGAACUUGAUGAGUCUUCUUCUACUCCCGAGGAGAUCGCUGACUUUAGGACUCAUGAAAGAGAUGCCACUAAAGUGGCAUGUAUCAUGCUGGCCACAAUGACAGCCGAGCUCCGAAAGUCCAAUGAGGACUUUUAUCCUUUUGAGAUGCACCAGGAUCUUAUGGAAAGAUACCAUCAGAGUCCUCGUCAAGAGCGAUAUGAAAUAAUCUCCUCCAUGAUAACAACCCGAAUGAAAGAUGGUGAACCCAUCAGGGGCCACAUGCAGAAAAUGCAAAGGUUUGUGGACCGUCUGCUGAAGUUGAAUGUGAACUUUCCUCAGGAGUUGGCAAUUGACAUCAUAUUGCACUCCUUACCUUCUUGUUAUGAUCAAUUCCGAAUGACCUAUCACAUGAACAAGGAGGAGGUCACACUCAACAAACUUCAAGGACUUCCGAAGACCGUUGAAAGUGGUCUUAAAGGUAAAUCGCUUGUUACCACUCGUACUCCUACCACCGCCCUUGUUCUGGCUAUCGGGAAAGGUGAAGGGAAGAAGAGGAAGAGCCCUUCGAAGGGUAGCAAGGGAAAGUCCCUUGAUGGUUCCUCUUCAAGUAGAACCAAAGGUGGUUCUCUCACUCCUUCUGCCAACCCUAAAGAGGCUGAAUGCUUCUAUUGCCAUGAAAAAGGCGCACUAGAAGCCAAACUGCCCAAUGUACUUGCAAGAUGUUAAGAAUGGGAAAGUGAAACCCAACCAUGCAGGUAUUUAGACUAUAUUGUCUAAUAACUCACCAUAUUCUAAUUCUUGGGUCGUUGAUACAAGUUGUGGUAUUCACAUAUGUUCUGAUUUGCAGGGACUAAUAAGAAGUGAGAAUAUGGAGCAUGGAAAGAUAAACAUGAUCAUGGGGAAUAGGAAAGCUUCACCUGUCACCAAUAUUAGAGUUUAUUCUUUGUUGCUAAGUAGUGGGUUAAGAUUAGAUUUGAAUAAAUGUUGUUACUCGUCUGAAAUGGCAAGAAAUAUUAUUUCCUUUCACGGUUUGUACAAACAAGGAUUUACUUUUUCAUUUGAUAAUGAAUGUGGUGGCAUUAAUGCUUUCUAUAAUAAUGUUGUUUAUUUUAAAGCAUUACCUUGUGAUGGUGUAUAUGAAAUUGUGUUGGUUGUGGAUAACCUAGGAAAUAAUGUGUUGUGUAUUGAUUCUUCCACCAGCUUGGAUAAAGCAUCAUUAUGGCAUUGUCGUCUUGGACAUGUGAGCAAGAAACGCAUAGGCCAACUCCAAAACGAUGGAGUCUUGAAGUCAUUUGACCUAAAGUUGGAUGAUAGUUGUGAAUCUUGUUUACUUGGAAAAAUAACAAAGUCACCCUUCAUUGGUAUCUGUGCUACGGGUGAAGGUUUAUUGGAUCUCGUACACACAUAUGUGUGUGGACCCUUUAGAACCGCCACAAGAGAUGCUAACCGCUUCUAUGUGACUUUUACUGAUGAUUAUAGUAGAUAUGGCUAUGUCUAUUUAAUCAAGCAUAUAUCAGAAACCUUUGAAAAGUUCAAAGAGUUUAAACAAGAAGUGGAGAAUCUGCUGGGCAGGAACAUCAAGAUGCUUCGAUCCGUUCGAGGUGGUGAGUAUCCUAGUACAGAGUUCCUUGACUAUCUUAAGGAAUGUGGGAUUGUCUCACAAUUGACAGCUCCCAAAACACCACAACUUAAUGGUGUGGUUGAGAGGCGUAAUCGAACCUUGUUGGAGAUGGUUCCUUCCAUGACGAGUCGAGCUUCGCUACCAAUCUCAUUUUGGUGGUAUGCCUUAGAGACUGCCGCCCAUAUUCUUAAUCUAGUCCCUACCAAAAAGGUUUCCAAAACACCUGACAAGAUGUGGACUGGGAAAGUUCCCAAUUUGGACCACAUCAAGAUUUGGGGUUGCGAGGCUUUUGUGAGGCGUGAGAUUCACGAUAAGCUUGAGCCUCGAAGUGAGCGGUGUAUUUUCAUCGGCUACCCACAUAAAUCCUUUGGUUACCUCUUCUAUAUACCCAGUGAUAAUGUGGUCUUUGUGACAAGGAGAUGAGUCUUUCGCGAGAGAGAGUUCAUAAGCCAAGGAAACAGUGGGAGGCGAAUUGACCUUGAAGAAAUUCAAGAGUCAAGUCGUGAAGGAACCUCAAACCCUAACAGUCUACCUGAGGAGGAAACUCUUGUUGAUCCAACUGACGAGUCUGUACCUCUGAGGCGUUCCACGAGAGUUAGGAAUUCACCUGAGCAUUACUAUGGUUUCCAUAUUACUGCGGAAGGUGAUACACUUAUCAGUGAUAGUAGACUGGUAUGUUUGGAUGUACCUAAUAGCUACAAGGAAGCCAUGACAGGCCCCAAGUUUGCUAAAUGGAAAGAGGCCAUGGACAGCAAGAUACAUUCCAUGUAUGACAAUCAAAUUUGGAACUUGGUUGACAAUGUACCAGGUCGUAAGAUAGUCGGGUGCAAAUGGAUCUUCAAGAAGAAGAACAACAUGGAUGGUAAUGUACACAAUUAUAAGGCACAACUAGUUGCAAAGGGAUUUCCUCACACUCCAGGAGUUGAUUAUGAUGAGACCUUUUCACUAGUAGCAAAGAUUAAGUCCAUUAGACUUAUGCUAGCCAUUGCUGCAUUUCAUGAUUAUGAAAUAUGGCAAAUGGAUGUCAAAACCGCUUUCCUUAAUGGAAAGUUGGCUGAGGAUGUUUACAUGAGUCAGCCAAAGUGUUUUGUCAGCACAAAGUACCCUAACAAAGUGUGUAAGCUUGAGAAAUCCAUCCAUGGAUUGAAACAAGCACCUCACAGAUGGAAUCUUUGUUUCGAUGACAAAGUCAAAGAAUUUGGUUUUUCGAGGAGCGAAGAUGAGUCCUUUGUAUAUGUCAAGGCUAGUAGGAGUAUAGUUAGCUUUUUGGUAUUGUAUGUGUAUGACAUACUACUCAUAGGAAAUGACAUCCCAAAUUUGCAGGAAGUGAAGUCCUGGCUUGGGAAGUGUUUCGCUAUGAAUGACCUUGGAGAAGCUGCCUAUAUCCUAAGGAUAAUGAUUCUGAGAGAUAGGAGUAAGAGACUAAUUGGACUUAGUUAGAGUACCUACUUGGAUAAGGUGCUGAAUAGGUUCAACAUGGGAUUCCAAGAGAGGAGAGUUACCGAUCCAGAGUAAUGCCAUACUGAGUAAGACUCGGAGCCCGAGUACAGAGGCUGAGAUAGAUGAGAUGAGUCGAGUUCCGUAUGCUUCCGCUGUAGGCUCGAUCAUAUAUGCUAUGACUUGUACUCGUCCUGAUGUGGCCUUUGCUUUGAGCAUGGUCAACAGAUAUCAUGGGAACCCUGAUACGGCUCACUGGACUGUGGUAAAGAACAUUCUGAAGUACCUGCAGAGGACUAAGGACUGGGUCCUUACCCUCGGUGGGAGUGAUGACUUGAGAGUAGUAGGGUAUAGUGAUGCUAGCUUCCAGACUGAUAGGGAUAAUUUCCGCUCUCAGUCAGGUUGGGUCUUUACCUUAAACUGAGGAGCAAUUACUUGGAAAAGUUCCAAGCAGGAGACAGUGGUUGAUUCAACUCGCGAAUCAGAGUACAUAGCAGCAAGCGAGGCAGCAAAGGAGGCGAUAUGGAUGAAGAACUUCAUUGGAGACCUUGGAGUAGUACCAGCUAUAAAGGAGCCUAUAGAGAUUUUUUGUGUUAGUGAAGGUGCUGUUGCCUUAGCCAAGGAACCAAGGGAUCACGGGAGAUCCAGACACAUCGACAUAAAAUACCAUUUCAUUAGACAUCAAAUAUAGAAGGACUCCUCGUGGCAAAGAGGGUAUCAUCGGAUGAGAACCCAGUAGAUCCCCUCACAAAGGGACUUGGUAGGGUUAAGCAUCUUCAGCAUGCGAGGCGCAUUGGUAUAAAGGAUGAUAUUAGUUUUAGAAAUUAGAUAGCUGUUGAAAUUUGUAAAGUGUAAUUGACAUUUGAUGAUAAAUAAAAGUUGUUAUUAUUUAUAAGUAAAGUGUUACUAUCUUCUGUCAAUCGUUUACUAUCAUUUCAAUUUUUGCAUGUUUUGACUUCCAGAAUAAUUAUGUUAUGGUAUAUCAUAUUAUUCAAACAAUCCACAAUCAAUCAUACUUUGGAAGUAGGUAAUGAAGCAAGACUAUCAUGAAUGGGUCUGCAGUUUGUCUGGGACAAAGGGGCUGCAAUGUUCAUGAGUACUCCUAGAAUAGUGAUUCAAGUAUUGGGUUCAACCGACAGUCACUUGAAUCAUGUCAUGGAAUUUAUCUCGAGUGAUCGUGAGACGAUAAUAUCAUAUAAGUCUUCAAACCUAGAGAUAUGAGUUGUUGACUAUGAGCUGGUUAUACAUUGAUUGUACACAAAUGCAUUGGUAACUCGAUGUUAUAAAACGUGACUUUGUGUAUGAUUCAACAAGUAGUAGAACAAGCAUAUGAGUCGAAGUUUAUAUGUUCCUUCUAGUCCUUGGAGGAUUAGAAGUGAUAUCUGGGCCCCUCGAUGAUUUUUUGACCUAUGUACUGGGCCUGAUCAGAACUAAAUUGAUGUGUUCGAUUAAGUUCUAUGUCAAACAAAUCGGAAAUCGGGAAACAAACUGCUGGACAAUAAGUACGACAUUGUUCCAUGUAUUUGUCCAGCUGAUAUCUUGUGAGCACAAGAUUAUAUGAUCACUUAUCUUAAAUGACAGGUCAUCUUAGUUCCGCGAGACUUUGAAAGAACUACGAUUGCUGAUCGGUUCCUGAAGUCAUACCUGCAGUUAUAGUUAUUAGACUUAUCCAAGUGGGAGACUGUUGGAUAAGGUGUCUAAGUCCAUAACUAUUUCUGGUAUGUACUUGACCUGGUUGGUAUGGUCCAUUUGGGUUGCAUGGCAUCAUGAUGAUUGGAUAGACAAAAUGAGAAGGACACUUAUGAUUUGUUAAUAUAUUGUAAGUUAUAAUAUAUUAAUAUGAAAUCAUAUUAUUUAAUUAGUAUUGAUCAAGAAUUAAUUUGGAAUUAAUUUUAUGAUAAAAAAGAGACUAAUUAAAUAUAUGGGGCUGAUUGUGUAAAUCAUCUAUUCUUAUAUAGUGGGCUAAUGAUCCAUGGUUUAUUGGAUUGGGCUAAAACCCAUUAGGUGCUCCAUGGAUGCUCCAUGGAGGUUAAAACCCAUGGAUAAUGGAGGAAAUGAAAAGCCAUGUCAAUUAGAUUUUACAUGGUCUAACCUUACUUGUGACGCACUAUAUAAACGUACUAAGACUAGAACAAGGAGGGCUAGCCAAUUUUGAGUGAUAGUGUACUUCUCUCAAAGUUAUUCCAAGAGUUGUGGUGUUGUGUGAAACAUUUGAGGCAUCACAUUUGCGGUGCUAGGCUCAUAAAGUUCUUAAGGAAUCCAAGCAACAAGAAAUGUAUGUUGUUCUACUAGCUUUUAU
rnacentral:lncRNA from 1 species